rnacentral:misc_RNA from 1 species
AAGUACACGCACACGCACGACAUAACGCAACGAAGAGUCCGUCUUUCCUUGAAGUGUGUGCAACUCAUCUGCCCACCGCUCCCCUCCCUCCCUCCCUCCCUGUUGAACCUUCCGCGUCUUUCCGAGGUGUUUGCACUAUUGUGUUGGGCACUGCUCUUGGUGUGUUCGUCUUUUUCAGUUUCUGGUCCACCCUCACGGCCACUGAGUGUGUGCGUGUGUAUGCGCGCACCUUUGUUUUCCGGGUUUCUGUGCCGCCGCCCGAGCAGCAGCCCCCCGUCUGUGACACGCGAUCUACGUGUUCUCUGUCUGUCGCUCUCUGUGUUCUGCAGUGCUCUUCUUCGCCGAUUAUCGUCAUUAUCUUUCCCGCUUCUUGCUGCAUCGCUGGAGCUGUGAAGUCCUACGUGGUGCACACGCACAUCACUUCGGCAUCACCCCGCUGUAACUUGGACCUGCAGCCUGGCGCCUCCCCCCUUCCUUUCUCUCUCUACCCUCACACCAUCGGCUACACAGUACGAUGCGCUCCCUCACGACAAGGCGGUGCGUGGCAUUGGGGUUGCUUGGACUUCUGCUCGUCAUAUGCCUGAGACAUGAGCCGGCAGGCGUGACGGCACUGGUCGCUACGAGCACCCGUCACACCGCCUUAUACAAGGACCUCGGCGUGGCGGCGGGAGCCAGCAAGGAGGAAAUCAAGAAGGCCUUCCGUGCAUUCACCCGCCAGCACCACCCCGACCUGAAGGAAACCUUCCAGGAGAAGGAGGAUGCCAAGGCAGCUAUGGCGAAGGUGCUGCGUGCCUACGAGGUGCUGUCGGACGACAAGAAGAAGGCCGCGUACGACGAGUCGGGCAUAAUCCCUGGCGAGGCCCCAAACUUGGAGGAGAUGACGGCCAACGAGCUCUUCGAGUACUACCACCAGUCUUCGCCCAUCUUCUCGAAGUCGCCGACGCUGAAGAGCCUGACGCAGCUGCGUCGUCUGCAAGAGUUCCGCGGUGGUCGUGUCUUUUUGAUUCAGGUCUACGACGAUACCCAAUGCAAAAACUGCCGUUACUACAGCGCCGCGUGGGAGAUGCUGUACCAGUCCAGUCUGGUGGAGGCUGGCGUGCUGGAGAUGUAUCGCAUUGAUGCCCUAAGUGAGGAGGGCAGUCCACUGCUCGCCCACCUCGGCAUCCGUUACCGUAAAGAGCCAUAUGUGCUCGCCAUCGUGGACGGCGAAGCCUGGACGCUUUAUAGCAUUGCGGAGGCCAUGAAGCAGCGCAACCACAACCGCGCCUUCCACAGCCUGCUUGAGUUCGUGAUGUCUUUCUUCUACGACGUCUUUCAGCAAACGAGGUCACUGGAGGUAACGCAGCUGGAGGACAUCCUCACGUUCCUGCGUGCCCCGCGGUCCGUCAAGCAGCCGCUGCGUGCGCUGCUGCCCACGAUCAACGCCGAGUCGAUUCCGGUGGCGCUGCAGAUGCGCUACAACCAGGUCGAAGUCCGCAGUGUGCCGCGCGAAUUUCUGCUCGAGUUCGUGGAGGAGUACUGCGAGAUGGAGAUCGGCGUGAAAGACCGCUUCGGCGAGAGCGUCCCGAUGGCGGAGUUCAUUGUUGUGUCGACGGAGGCGUUGCCUAUGCCGCCCAAGGACGUGACCGAAACCAGCGACACGGCAGCGUUGGAGGCGGAAACCGAGGCGUCGACACCGCAGAAGAGCUGCCGCCUUGUGCACAUCGGCGCUGCGGUGGCGCUCACCUACAGGAAAGCCUCAAGGUUUAUGGAAGACCACCUGCCGGAGCGGCACGUGGGCAUGAAGGGCCUCCGCUACGCCGGCGCGACGGACUUCCUGCAGGUGUGCCGUGACAACUGCGUGGUUUGGAUGCGCGAAGACUGCGCGGAGGCCCCAGACGCACACGUGGCGGCCCUCAUGGCAAACGACUACCUCUCCUUCAAGACCGGCUACUGGUGCAUGGAGGAGGAACGCAGGCUGGCCGAGGUUCUGAGCAAGGCCGGUGUGUGGACGGCGACGUCCAAGAGCAUGGCCGCGUCUCCCUCAGCUCUCGUCGCCUUCGUCGGCGGCAACGACAGCGUCACCUACCAGCUCGUGUCCCUGCAAGCCAAAGCGCCAGAGGAGCUCACAGCGCAGGACAUAUACACCGCCCUGUCGACGCUGGUGGGCAACGCCGAGGAAUCCGAGGACGGCAGUGAGGCGGCCAGGGUCGCGGCGCCGAUCCCGUCGCACCUCCCGCAGCCCGUCGCCAGCCUCCUCGCCACAGACGGUUUCCCGAUCUCCCGCAAGCAGCGUCUCUACAUACAGGCCAUGACCAUCUAUACCUUUGCAGCCCCGCUGGUGUCCAACUCGUGGCCGUUCUUCAUGAUGUACCUAGUCCACCGCUUCGUCCUGAACCGCAACAAGCCAGAGGCCGAAGAGGAGGCAAGGAAGAAGCGCGAGGAGUCUGCCGCCGCCGCCGCCAACGGUGUCUCGAGCGCGAAUGAGGCAUCCGCAGCGCCGGUGCGUCGUCGCAUCCGCAAACCGCAGCCGCGGGUCGGCCCGUACAAUCCGCGCGACAUGAAGUGGGCCAAGGAGGAGAAGGGCUUCCUGCUCUUACUCGUGGAGGACGGCUUGGCAGCCGGGGCUCUGCCGCUCCCCCGUCUUGCCUUGGACGAGCCCUUCACCGUGCGCGUCCUCGGCACCGGACAGGGCAAGUGGCGCCAGUGGAUCCUCGAGCACAAGCCAGCCGCUCCGGAAGGUGCGGCGGAGAAGCUUCCAGAGGCGGAGCGCCAGAUCUCCCUCAUGGCCAUCCGCAAGACUCGCAUGAAGGCCCUUGUCAAGUCGGACGCGCAGACGAUCGAUGCCUUUCUGCGUGACCUCCUCGACGGUACAAAGAACCCGAGCGAGGAGCUGCCGUCGUGGGCGUAUGACGAGUAGUCGUGUGUGAUUGUUCCUUGCUGUUGUGUGGUCGAGGGAGACCAGAGAAGGGAAGUGGGCAAGCGGGCAGGCGGCCGCCUGGGCAAUCGCUGGCCGUCUCCUUGACUCGCAGGUGUGGGGAAAAAACGCGUAUAUCUCCUCUUUGUGUGCCCCCUCUUCCUGUGUCCUCGCUCUCCACACACUUUUUUUUUUGGGGGGGGGGGGGCAUCUCCAUUGUGGUCGUGAGCUGCGCCUGAAUGCUUAUCUGUCGGUGCGUUAUGGCGUGUGGGUGCGGGCCUGUGUGUCUCUUGGAGCUGGUGCUGCAUUCUUUUUUGUGUCAGUUUUUCCGAGGGCGCCGCUUCCCUUUCCUUUCGUUGAACUCGUGUCGUUUUCGGCACGCCGAGAUGGUUAAUGAUGUGCUUCCCUGCUCUUCCUCUGUUAAUCCUCGUGUGCCGUGUACUCACGUCCUCCCCACCGCCACGCAGGGAAAUAACCGUUAAAGACGGAUUCAAGGCGUCCCUCUUUUCCAACGUGUGCCAAUUCACUCCCAUCGAAGGUGAGGCCAAACGCCACGCUGACCUCCGCCCCCCCCUCCCCGGCACACACACAAGCACACGCACACCACCCCUGCCACAGACCCCCAUGACGCGUGGUGCGAAGCAUGCCGUAGACACACGCGUUGCAACAAUGUGCGCCGGCUCAGUCACCGGAGCACGGCCCCUGCCCCAAACCCUACGCACCCACGCUCUGCAGGUGGCCUCAGAGCGGCUCCCCCACCAUGCCGGCCGCCACCUGGCGCGUCGCUUGGGGUGGGAUACGCUCGAGCCACGCUGACGCCUUGGGCAUCAUGUGUAUGGUGCAAGCGUGUUCACUGUCGUAGGACUCUCCGGCGUCACGCCAUCCAGGACCUGACGGUCAACAUCAGCAGCGAUAAACCGCUCUCACUCUCCCUCCCCCCACCCCCUCCUGCGUCGUAGGCACCUGACGCUGUCACCACCAGAGGUGGCUCAGCAUUUGGCAGGGAGAGAGGAAGGCUGCUCGGCUUCCUCCCGCACAGAGAAUGGGGGGAGGAGGGGGUUAUGGGCCCUGUGAUACCGCGUACGGUGUGAAGUGUGAGAUGUGUGUGUGUUUGUGUGUGUGUGCCGCGCGAGGCAGCGAAUGCCGGAGCAGCGGGGACUGCCAUCGGUAUGGGUGAAGGAUGAGUCUGCGGAGUUGUGUUUAAGUGUGUUAUGUUCAGCCAUGAGCCCCUCCCCUCUCUUUUUUUUGUUUUGUGGAGAGGGCCUCUUGUUGUGAAGCCGAUGCAUGCACAUGUGGUAAAGAUACAAAGACGGAGCACUGACCACAUCCGCGAAGGUGGUGUGCAUCCCCACCCGAACAACGAAGGACAACAGAAAGGCAUCAGAGCGUAAGCAUCGGUGUGCCUGUGUGUGUGUGUGUGUGUGUGUGUCUCGGACAGACAAG